GACGAACGCUGGCGGCGUGCCUAAUACAUGCAAGUCGAGCGAGCGGAACCAACAGAUUUACUUCGGUAAUGACGUUGGGAAAGCGAGCGGCGGAUGGGUGAGUAACACGUGGGGAACCUGCCCCUAAGUCUGGGAUACCAUUUGGAAACAGGUGCUAAUACCGGAUAAUAAAGCAGAUCGCAUGAUCAGCUUUUGAAAGGCGGCGUAAGCUGUCGCUAAGGGAUGGCCCCGCGGUGCAUUAGCUAGUUGGUAAGGUAACGGCUUACCAAGGCGACGAUGCAUAGCCGAGUUGAGAGACUGAUCGGCCACAUUGGGACUGAGACACGGCCCAAACUCCUACGGGAGGCAGCAGUAGGGAAUCUUCCACAAUGGACGCAAGUCUGAUGGAGCAACGCCGCGUGAGUGAAGAAGGUUUUCGGAUCGUAAAGCUCUGUUGUUGGUGAAGAAGGAUAGAGGUAGUAACUGGCCUUUAUUUGACGGUAUUCAACCAGAAAGUCACGGCUAACUAC
rnacentral:rRNA from 1 species